CAGCUCCUCCAUGCCCACAGAAAGGCUGCCCUGGGAGUGGGGAGGGAGAGCACCAGGGCCAGGCUCUUGGAGAACCUCAGGCUUUCCUCCUCAGGAAGGAAAAUCAACAGACCUGCUUAGCAGAGCAGAGAGGAACAGCAGCUCUCAAGGGAAAAAUAGAGAUGAGAUUGGCAGUGGGGCCCACCAGGGUCAUUCAACAUUUGUUUGUUACCCUGGUUCUGCUCAUCUGAACCUUGCAGAGCCUGGGUUUGAGAUCCAAGGGAGAAAAAAAAAAAUCUGUGUGUGCACAUUAAUAAAUUGUGUGGAACAAAGCUGUGCAUGAAGCCCAUCACCCUCCCUGGGAAAUCACCUGGUGUGCACUGACCCCAAGUUAAACCUAACCCAGCUCCCUCCUCACACAGCUCUGCUGCUCACCCCAACCUGCAGAGACCCUCCCCAAAACCAAGCACCCAGAAGGGGCUGGUCUUGCAGGACUGGGUGCUUGCAUGACUGUUUUAGAGCUGGAGUGUUUAGGAUGCUCAAUUCCCACCCUAAUGGGCCCAAAGAGCAGAAAUGUGUGAAGGCCUCGUGCAGAAAGGCAGCUGGCUGCUCUGCUCCUGGAGAUGUGGGUUCAGUGGUGCUGUCUUGGAGCAGGAGCUGUGGCCAAGCCCAGCUUGUUCCCAUCCCUUGCUGGGAACAGAGAGUGGCAGACUGGGAAUUGCCAGCUGUGACACUGCAGGGACUGCCUGGGACACACGGACACUGCCCCGUGCCCUGCCCACAGGCUCUGUGCCCAUCCUAAAGGCCUCUGAAGCAGCUCCAGUGGCAUGAGGAAGAGUGAGAAUGAGAAGAGAGGACAUCUGUGCACACUCCUGGUGGCCAAGGCCAGCUCCUGCCUCCUUUCUGUGCCCGAGCAGCAGCGAGGCCACAGCAGGAGGGACAGGGGGAUGCUGCUGCUGCUUGGACACCAUGCUCAGGGGGGUUUUGUGCUCCCAUCUCCAGCCUCUCUGUUUUUAAAGCCAGGCUGCUUAUUAGCAAUGCACAGCAGCACCAAGCAAUAACUUUGUACUGCAGUUUCUCUCUUAAUCAAAUGCAGCUUCACAGAGCCACGCUGAUCUAAUUGUUCAGUGUCCAGGUUCCCUGCCUCUGCAGAGAUAAAUACUCUGAGGAGCUGCAUUUUGACUGGCAUCCAAAACUCACCACUGGCUGCUGUGAUUGUGAUUUAUUGCUGCUGAUAACAAUCAAUCCCAAGGCAACCAUGUGCAUUUGAAGUGAUUCAGGGCUGAGCAAGGGGGGAAUGAAUACCCACGGGGAGCUGACAAGUGAUGAGUCCUGCACUGAAUGCUCUCCCCCAUUUCUGCAUUGCAAACCCCACCCCAAGCUCACUGCGUGGAGGGCUCCGUGUCACCUCUCCCCUGCCAAGUGCAGUCUGCUCAGCCAAAGCUCUAAACUUCAUUUAUGCACCUUUCAGUCUUACCUGACAACAGGCUCUCCGUGGGCAGAGGACAGGGACAAAACUCCAGAGUGCUGCAGCCACCAGCCUGACCUGCUGGGCAGGAUAGUCUCCAGCAGCCAGCAAGCCCUGCUCAGCCAGGACAGGCUCCCCAGGGCACAAGGCAGAAGGGAAGGGGGCCUGGAGCUGCCAUGAUCAAUGGGCUUCAGCCACAGAGCAAGAAAAAGCACACCUACAGCUCUGGCAGAGCAUGGCUCCAGGACAGCCUGAAACCCCCUUUUGUGUACCCUAAAAAAUGCCUUAAAUUCCAAUCUCAGCUCAAAAAAGGUGGCUGCUGUUUCAGAGGGUUUAUCUUUUCUUCAUAUCAUCCAGGCAGCUUCAGAAACCUGGUCAGGAAAGACUCUGCAAAACCUCCUGUAGCUCUGACUCACCAGAAGAGCAGAAAAACCCUCAGAACAAAUCUCCACCUUCCCUGGAGCUCCUUAAAUUUGCCUCCUGGGCCAUGGCAAAAUUGUGCCCACCUGGGCCACAUCCCCCACCUGGGCCAGCUGCCCUCCUGCCUGGCCCUGAGCGAAGCCCCUGAUGUUCCAAGGAGAGGGGAGAGCUGUCUGCAGGGCUCCUGAGCAGGGAAGAGGGAGGGGCAAUCAGUUUUGACCCCAUCAGACCUUAAAUGAAGGGACCCUUGGGCAGUAGGACAGUAAUUAUUUCUUCUUCUCUCCUGUCUGCUCUUUUGUUUUUGCUACUGUUACACAGCCCUGUUGUAUGCCAAAGCAAUUGGAAUUUAUUCACUUUUUUAUUUUAAGGGAUAGCAGCAAGUGUUUGGAGUAAAUUCCCAUUACAGUUGGGAGAGUCAGCAGCAGGAUCCCCGUGAGAGCACGUUGCUUUCUUACCAAACCUCAGUGAAAGCCAUCACUGCAGGGAGAAUGUUUCCAGCCACUUUAUUCAGGGUUUCUGUCCCUGGUCAAGGCUUCCCCUCCCUCAGUGGUGAGACAGGGCUCUGCCUGCACAGCAUGGAGGGGAAAACCUCAAUAAAUCAACCCAGAGAAAUGCAGCUUGAGCAGGCUAAAAAGCCAAAAAAGCAAGAGGCUGAUGCCAGGUUUCACUCCCCAAAGCACUCCAGGUCAUCCCCGUCCUUCCUGGGAGGGAAUCAGUGAUGGGACCAUCCCUGAGCACCAGAGCUGGACAAGCCCCAAAGGGGCUUUGCUUGGUGCCCUGAAGGCACAAACCAGAUUAAACACAGGCAUGAGCCUGAGCAAUGAAUCACCUGCCAGGAGAGCAGGAGCAGGAUGGACAGGACCCCGAGGAUGGCAGGGAGGCAGCAGCACAGAGGAAGAGCUGGAUCAGGACAAACAGGGAAAAUAUGGAGACAAAAGAGAAAAAAAAAAGAAAAAAAAAAAAAGAAAAAAAUGUUUUAAAUUCUCUGCAGUUGGAAUUUGCACCUUCCAGCCAGUGCACCAUGGAGGCCCACAAGAGCUGCAAGAAGUGCUUCAGUGUUGGAAGCACAGGGAAAAUCUGAACCUGAUUUCUUAACUUCCAUUCCACUUGCAGCACAGAAAUCUGUUUAAAAGCAAAGGCUUUGCCACCUGUGGUUUCCAAAAGUCACAGAAUUGUUUCUUCCAUUGAGCUAAAAAAAAAAAAAAAUCCGACCAAAACCCAAGCAUUAAAAAAUAAUCUUUUGCCAAUGAGUGGCGCUGCAGUGUCCCCAGAUCUCCCCAGCAGACAUGGAAAGGUAGCUAAGUAACAACUACCUCUGCCCAUUCCCACACACUGCACUGGUUGAACUUGAUUCCUUUUUUUUUUUUGUAAUUUAGAAAAAAUUCCCUUUUGGAAAAUGUGGUUUCAGCUGAGUUCUCUUUUUCUGUGGGAAGAUGUUGGUUUCAGCUGUGAUUCCAAAAAUGUAAUUUCGAAACAGCGAUUCGAACCAAGCCCUGCCCUUUCCCUGCCUCACCAUGCCUGGGGCAAGGUGGAUGUAUUCAUUCCACUUGGAUAUUUGUGAUCCUGGGGUUGGGGCAGGGGCAUUGCCAGCUCUCAGAAAUUUUGUGUUUUGGUGUUUCUUUGGGCACAAGGUGGGAAGGAGGGUUUGGAGCUGCUCAAGCCAGCACUGGAGUCACAGCAUUGGCACAGCCCUAGAAUCAUCUGACUUCCUACCACAGGGAAAAGUGUUCCAACCAAGGGCAGCUGCUUUCCAGCACUGCACCAGCCUGGGCUGUCUUUCCAGCAGCAAUGCACAGAGGACACCAGGAAUCCCACAAACAAACCUCAACCAGGAGAGAUAUUCUCCCAGCUGACCAUCAGCCUGGGGCUGUGCUGCAAAUAACUGGACAGACAGAGCAUCCCAUUAUCCUGCUGAAACCCACAGGAGCUCCUCGUGCCCAAGUCAAAGCCAAGUGUCCACCACUUGCCCAUCCAAAGCAGCUGAGGAGCUGCUUGUCAAACCAGGGGCCACUUUUAACUUUUUUUACACUUUUAACAGUGCUGCCACCUGAAUUACACGUUUGUGACCAGCCAGAGAAGAGGGUUGGGGAGACCAAGGGCUUGGCAGAGCUGGCAGCAAACCCCAGGGAUUAAUAACUGCACAUCCCUUAGCCCCAGGAGGAAACCUGAGGUCUGGGUGAAUCUACAGGACAUCCAUCCUUCAGACACACAAAAGAAAACCCCCUGCAAACAGUCAAGUUUUCAAUCGCUUUAAUGUGAUCACUGCAAUCUGACCACAGUUUCAGAAAGGCAAAAAAAAAAAAAAAAGUCACACAAAUUCUCUGUGCUUAGGAUUUGAGUCAAUCUGUGCAGCUCUUGUUGACUGACGUUAUUGAAGUUAAGACCUUCUGACCAUCAGUGAUGUUCUCAGCUGAAAGGCAGGACCGUGUGUAGGACAGAGUGGUGCAAACCAGGAAUGCUUCUUCUGGGCUUGGAGCUGGGCCACCCGAUCUGCUCCAAAGGAAACAGCUGUAGGUGCACCUGACCUGCUCCAAAGGAAACAGCUCUAUGUGCACACACACACAGGGAGCAGGGAAAUGCACCAGGAACCAGCUACAGCUCCCCGGGGACAGAGCUGGGGCUGUGCUCCACAACGAGGAAGGGGGAACCCACACAAAUAUCCAAAACUGAGCAGAUUCAUUUUCCAACAUUCAUAAGAAAAUAGGAAAACUGAAAUUACAUUGUGUUGACAAACUCUGGUUUUUCGUUUUGGUUUUUUGUUGUUGGGGUUUUUUUUGGGUAACAAAGCAAAAGGUGAAGGCAAAUUUUCCAAAGUAUUGUAAAAUUUAUUGUAUAAGUAUUGCAGCUUUUAGAAUGACAUAUAAUUGCCACUAUUGGUUACUGGUACACAAGAAGCGUUUACAACAGAUUUUUGUAAAUUGGCAUCAGAGUACAUAUUCAUACUAAAACAGCAAAAUAUAGAUAAGUACUGCAUUGCAUGUGCUGUCAAUAGUUUACAUAAGUUUAAAUUGAACAGAACUCAGGAUACAGGACUGCCUAUAACAAACUCCAAAGCCAACACAAUGCAACUGGAAGUUUAAGAAAAUAUUAAUACAAUGAAAUGUGUCUAUAAGGCAGGCAAAUUAGGACUUUAAUGUUGUCCUUCAUGAGCUUCUAUAGUACAGCAAAAAUUUGAAGCGCAGUUUCUGGAAAACUUCUUUUUGUUUUUUUUCUUUUGUUGUAGAUUUGUGUUGUACACAGAAUAUCUCUGAGCAGUUCAGAGACAGAAGAGAUUAAAAUUCAUUCUGUUCUGGCCUAGCACUGUUAAUGCUACACAUCUGAUUCAGUCUUUUCCCAAUCCUUAGGAAAAACAUUGGGCUUUGAUUUCUUUAUUUUUUUAAUAUAGCAGUUAGUGCAAUUUUAUAAUUCGAUAGACAUACAAAAGGGUGAUUCUCCAGAAAGCAACUGGAUUUCCUUAGACCCCACUUAAGACAGAAUGAAUUUUGUAACACUCAUGGAAACAACACGCUGGAUUAGUAAAGCUGAGUCUUCAAACCAGUGUAACCAAGGGUUGUGAAGGGAACACGUGUCAGCCCCAAAUGAAACCCAUCCUUCCACCCACCAGAACCAGCAAAGCCACGUUCCCAUUCCAGGCCAGUGAGGUUUGGGGGCACUUUAGGGACGCUGUUUGCCGUACUGUAAGCUAAGAAACUCUGUAAGAUCAACAACCCCUUUUAAAGCUAACGCGACUUAAAACUCCGAGCAAAAAGACAGGCUAGGACAUGAGGUUGCUAAGCAUUAGCAGUGCUUUGAUUCUUCUGCAUUUCUUUAAAAAUAAAUCACUUUUAAGGGGCCUGAAUCUCUGUGCUGGCAGCUGCAGGACACUCUAGCACCGCUCUCCACUGAGCUGCACCAAGGCCAGAGGAACGGGGCAUCAGCAAGGGUGUGCAAAGCAAAUUCCCUGCCUUGGUGGCAAUUUGGGACGUGGGAAUGGGGAAGAAAUGGACCCCGAGGCAAAAAGUAACAUUAAAUAGUAGUAAUAAUAAUAAUAACAACAAUAACAACAACAAUAAUAAUAAUAAAAAAAAGAACAGACCAUUAUUUCUAAACACCCAUUCAGAACUUGGGAGUUGAUCUGGGCCCCAGAUCUGUUAUCUGCACUUGAAAUACACAGUUCUCAGGACUGCAAAGAGAGGGAUGGACAGAAGAAAGACAAAAGAUAACAGCUGAGCUCUGCUGAGGAGCUGCACCCACGGCCUGGGACCUGGGGCUCUCCCCACUGGAGCUGCAGCAGACCAGGGAAAGGUGGCAGCCUGGGGAUUGUGCAAGGAUGGGCUGAAAGGCAUCAUUUGCAACAGAAAUUUGGUGUUGAUGAGCCACCCCAUUUCACACUCAUUAAGCUCCCCAAACUAGAGAAAGAGGUAAAUGAAAGUGGACCCAGGAACUCAACAAACUGAUCACUCAACCGCAGAGCUUGGGGUGACUCUAGACAAAUAAAAGCUCACACUGGGAGAGGAUUGGGGAGGGAGGAAAAAAAAUAGGGGGAAAAAUGAAUUGGUUGAAAUUUUGAGGACUUUCAAGCAUGAGAGCUGGGUUCAAUUGCACUGCAUCUUCAGACCCUCUCCCACUACCCCUCUGUGCCUAUCCAGCCCCUGCCCACUUCCCUGACUUUUCCACGGGGUUUGGUGGCCAGGUGACACCCUGUGACAAGACAAUCUCAUUUCUUAACAAGCUCUGGACCCCACACCACCUCUUUACUCACUGCUCAGUUUUAAACAUGUGAUGCAUAUUCCACCCAAAAUCUGCUGAGGUAACCGUAUUUUUUUUUAAUAGCAAACAAAACUAGUUCAGAUCACUGAACAACACGCCCCCCUCCCUCCCCCAAAAAAACAAAACAAAAAAACAAACACACCCAACCCCAACAACACUAUUCACGCAUUUUGGCUCAAGAGGGCAGUAGAUAUUAUAUUUCGCUUUCUCUUUUGGUUGGUAUCUCAUUUACAAUAUCCACCACAGAUUCCUACCUCCCCGGGUAGGAUAAUGUGCAUAAAACGUGUUCAAGUUCCCUAAGAACAGUCGGAGCAGAGCAGCGGCCAAGGGAGCAGCAGGUGUGGCCAGGCACAGGGAG